rnacentral:rRNA from 1 species
GAUGAACGCUGGCGGCGUGCCUAAUACAUGCAUGGUCGAGCGAACGGACGAGAAGCUUGCUUCUCUGAUGUUAGCGGCGGACCGGUGAGUAACACGUGGAUAACCUACCUAUAAGACUGGGAUAACUUCGGGAAACCGGAGCUAAUACCGGAUAAUAUUUUGAACCGCAUGGUUCAAAAGUGAAAGACGGUCUUGCUGUCACUUAUAGAUGGAUCCGCGCUGCAUUAGCUAGUUGGUAAGGUAACGGCUUACCAAGGCAACCAUGCAUAGCCGACCUGAGAGGGUGAUCGGCCACACUGGAACUGAGACACCGACCAGACUCCUACGGGAGGCAGCAGUAGGGAAUCUUCCGCAAUGGGCGAAAGCCUGACCGACCAACGCCGCGUGAGUGAUGAAGGUCUUCGGAUCGUAAAACUCUGUUAUUAGGGAAGAACAUAUGUGUAAGUAACUGUGCACAUCUUGACGGUACCUAAUCUUAAAACCACGGCUAAUUACGUGCCAACAGCCGCGGUAGUAGGUAGGUGGCAAGCGUUACUCGGAAUUAAUUGGGCGUAAAGCGCGCGUAGCGGUUUUUUAGUCUGAUGUGAAAGCCCACGCCAUAGGGGGGAGGGUCAUUGGAAACUGGAAAACUUGAGUGCGGAAGAGGAAAGUGGAAUUCCAUGUGUAGCGGUGAAAUGCGCAGAGAUAUGGAGGAACACCAGUGGCGAAGGCGACUUUCUGGUCUGUAACUGACGCUGAUGUGCGAAAGCGUGGGGAUCAAACAGGAUUAGAUACCCUGGUAGUCCACGCCGUAAACGAUGAGUGCUAAGUGUUAGGGGGUUUCCGCCCCUUAGUGCUGCAGCUAACGCAUUAAGCACUCCGCCUGGGGAGUACGACCGCAAGGUUGAAACUCAAAGGAAUUGACGGGGACCCGCACAAGCGGUGGAGCAUGUGGUUUAAUUCGAAGCAACGCGAAGAACCUUACCAAAUCUUGACAUCCUUUGACAACUCUAGAGAUAGAGCUUCCCCCUUCGGGGGACAAAGUGACAGGUGGUGCAUGGUUGUCGUCAGCUCGUGUCGUGAGAUGUUGGGUUAAGUCCCGCAACGAGCGCAACCCUUAAGCUUAGUUGCCAUCAUUAAGUUGGGCACUCUAAGUUGACUGCCGGUGACAAACCGGAGGAAGGUGGGGAUGACGUCAAAUCAUCAUGCCCCUUAUGAUUUGGGCUACACACGUGCUACAAUGGACAAUACAAAGGGCAGCGAAACCGCGAGGUCAAGCAAAUCCCAUAAAGUUGUUCUCAGUUCGGAUUGUAGUCUGCAACUCGACUACAUGAAGCUGGAAUCGCUAGUAAUCGUAGAUCAGCAUGCUACGGUGAAUACGUUCCCGGGUCU